GAUGAACGCUGGCGGCGUGCCUAAUACAUGCAAGUCGAGCGAACGGACGAGAAGCUUGCUUCUCUGAUGUUAGCGGCGGACGGGUGAGUAACACGUGGAUAACCUACCUAUAAGACUGGGAUAACUUCGGGAAACCGGAGCUAAUACCGGAUAAUAUUUUGAACCGCAUGGUUCAAAAGUGAAAGACGGUCUUGCUGUCACUUAUAGAUGGAUCCGCGCUGCAUUAGCUAGUUGGUAAGGUAACGGCUUACCAAGGCAACGAUGCAUAGCCGACCUGAGAGGGUGAUAGGCCACACGGGAACUGAGACACGGUCAAGACGCCUACGGGAGGCAGCAGUCGGGAAUCUUCCGCAAUGGGCGAGAGCAUGACGGAGCAACGCCGAGUGAGUGAUGGCGGCCUUCGGAUCGUAAAAAUCUGUUAUUAGGGAAGAACAUAUGUGUAAGUAAAUGUGCACAUCUUGACGGUAACUAAUCAGAAAGCAACGGCUAACUACGUG
rnacentral:rRNA from 1 species